rnacentral:rRNA from 23 species
AACCUGCGGAAGGAUCAUU